AUAUUUACCAGUGUUGCAGUGGAGCCACCAUGAUCAAUAAGGCUGGUCACCCCAGGGCGAGGCCUCGUCCCAGUGCACUCCGCAGCCGUGCUGAACCCCUGCGAAUUCCCCAAAUGUGGGAAUCUCGAAUGCAUAAUUUAUGGAGAGGGGGGGGACUGCGAGUGUUCCGCG